CUUGGCUUCUUGUACCUCCAGGAUUCCCACCAACCUCCAGCCAUGCAGAUCUUCUGCCUCCUCUCUCUUGCCGUCCUCUUCUUGAUGCUGCUGGUUCCAGAUUUCACAAGAGCCCAAUCCACAUGUUGUUAUCACCAUUGUCGACGUCUCAGGGGGAGAUGCCAACGGAGGUGCCACCCACCCCAAAGGCUACUUAUUCGGUGUGGUCAGCAAGCUUGUUGCCAUUAAGGCGGGUAACUCUACAGAUCUCCUGUGCAAGACCUCUGGUGAAAGGAAGACCUCCCUGCUCUCCUCUGAUGCGCAGCUGCCUCAACUGCACCCCCCCCCAUCUCUGCUGGGGAAGAAACCGCUUUGCUUGAUGCUGGGAAGGAGUCAAGAGGGAGCCGUCCUGUCUGCCUAUCUACUCAUGACUCCUUAGAAAGUGGGCUCAGGAUCGGAGUUUGGAUUUGGUUUGCCUGCAAAAGCGCUUUAGCUUUUUCUUUUUAAUAAAUGCAAGCA